GCAUAGUUGUGAUGUCAACGUGAAUUUCUUGAUAAAGGGCGUUAUUUUUUUUUCACGGUUGUAGUUAUUGUAAUAUUACUCGUUUUGGGUUGAAUUUGUCGUUUGUUUGAUCAAGGCAGGUAAUAUACAUUAUUCUAAUUUGGAAUUUAGUAUUUACAUUCAAUUAUAAAUUAUAUUUCUAAUUGUAUGCUUUAAGUAUUACGCAAGUAACAAUACAUAGACUAUAGACUAUAGACUUAUAAUCAAGGAUUAAAUUGGACAAUUAAUUAUGGAUACAUUUAUUGUCGAUUAUGAAAUGGAAGUUUCCAAACAAAAGUUUAAUAGUUUUGCCAAAUUUUAUGAUAUCUAUACUAUACACAAUUGAUAAAUUAUAAAAUUAUUUGUAUAUCUAGUUUUUAGAUUAU